rnacentral:rRNA from 1 species
CGCACGAGAAAGGGGCUUCGGCCUUGAGUAAAGUGGCGCACGGGUGAGUAACACGUGAAUCAUCUACCUUCGAGUGGGGAAUAACUGGGAGAAAUCUCAGCUAAUACCGCAUAAUACCUACGGGUCAAAGCAGCAAUGCGCUUGGAGAGGAGUUCGCGGCCGAUUAGUUAGUUGGCGGGGUAAUGGCCCACCAAGACGAUGAUCGGUAUCCGGCCUGAGAGGGCGCACGGACACACUGGAACUGAAACACGGUCCAGACUCCUACGGGAGGCAGCAGUGGGGAAUUUUGCGCAAUGGGGGAAACCCUGACGCAGCAACGCCGCGUGGAGGAUGAAAUAUCUUGGUAUGUAAACUCCUUUCGAUGGGGAAGAUUAUGACGGUACCCAUAGAAGAAGCCCCGGCUAACUUCGUGCCAGCAGCCGCGGUAAUACGAGGGGGGCAAGCGUUGUUCGGAUUUAUUGGGCGUAAAGGGUGCGUAGGCGGUUUGGCAAGUCUGAUGUGAAAUCUAUGGGCUCAACCCAUAGUCUGCAUCAGAAACUGCCGGGCUUGAGUAUGGGAGAGGUGAGUGGAAUUUCCGGUGUAGCGGUGAAAUGCGUAGAUAUCGGAAGGAACACCUGUGGCGAAAGCGGCUCACUGGACCAUAACUGACGCUGAUGCACGAAAGCUAGGGGAGCAAACAGGAUUAGAUACCCUGGUAGUCCUAGCCCUAAACGAUGAUUGCUUGGUUGUGGCAGGUACCCAAUCCUGCCGUGC